GUGAGGCUCCAUCCUACAGUCCAUUUUCACUUUAUCUUUUCUCCUCUGCUAUGUAUCUCCCUCCUAACGUUAUCAUCAUUUAUUAUACCUUUAAGAUUCAUCUCACUGGCACAAAGCUUUUGGAUCAUGAACCUUCCAUCCAUAAUUGAUUCCUCAGUGGGCCAUCUGUGACUUCUUCCUUGGAGUCUGUUGGGCAGUUGAAGACAGUACAGAGAAAAGUUAUCAGGGGUCCUUCUGGAAGGAGUAAAUGUCUUUAUACUGCAUAGCAGCAUCACUGGAUUUCUUCAGGGGCACCAGCUUUAAAAGGACCAUCUCUGCUGUCAGCCAUAGUUUGAUGUUUUGAAUAAACCUCCAGACGGACCAAGCGCCUUUCUUCCCCAGCACAGCUGAAAGCAAAGAAGCUGAAACAAAACAGAGAUACUGCUUUAAAGAACAACCAGGAAAAAUCCCUCUUGAUUUCCAGCCAAUUAGUGAUUCUGGUGGGUUUGCUUUUUCAAAACAUUUGGAAACGGCAGUGCUUAAAUCAUCACAGACGACUGUUUUGCAUGACCCCCUGUCUUCACCUUUCUGAAUACUGCAUGUAGCUUCGGUUGUGUUUGCAAGGCUAAAACCCUGGUGUUUGCUGGAAGUGGAGUGACACCCCAGUGCAGGGGCAGACCAAGAGAGAGCACUGUGAGCUGCUUUAUUUUGCAAACAGCUGCAGAGGACAGGAAUUCUAGACUCCAGCUCUAUAGAAACGGGUUAUGGGUGCAAUCCCCCUGCGUCUUUGGCUGUCUUUGCAGUAAUUCAGGUAGCUGCAAAGCAAAACAGAACAUGAGGCUUGAACUAAGACUGCCCCCUGCACCAGCUCCGAGUGUUCCAGAAGGAACAAGGAGGAUGGGACAGAGAUGGAAGUGUCAGGCAGGCUCUUAU
rnacentral:lncRNA from 1 species